rnacentral:lncRNA from 1 species
CGAACAUGGAUGGCAUAAUACAUGAUGUUUGAGAACGAUGUUGUUGCAAAUUAUGAAAAAAAAAUAAUUUUUGAUUAUAUUUAUGAAGUAAAAGCAUAUUUGAAUGAACAAUAUGCUAAUUUUUUGCUUUUUAAUAUGUUAAUUUAUUCUAGUACUUUUUUCUGGUGUCGUUUAUUGUUUAAUAUUAAAUAUGCUUUCUCAGAUGACAUAGCUAAUUUGAAGACGUUGGAAUUCUUUCAGUUAAUUAUAGAAUGUGGCAUUUUUUUUCUUUUCUGCAAGGCAAAAUCUCAUAAAUACAGACAUCUCACAACUUAGGCAUACGAAUGACACCCAAACGAGUGAUGCAUGACCUUAAUUUUUACAAUAGUAGUAUCCUUCUACGUAGGAAAUCUUUCUAGCAUCGAUAGAAUAAUUUAUUUCCGGCAUGAAUAGAAUCUUAAUUAAGUAUAAUACGGAAUUAUGUAUAAGCAUGAAAAAUUUUGACAUGAUAUAGAAGAAAUUUAAAAAACACAAAUAAAUCAAAUUUAUAUACCAUUCUUUUGUACAAAUGGAAAACAAUGCCAAAUCAUUUUUAAAACAGAAAAUAGACGGAUUUAUUUCUUUAAAAUUACGAUAAAUCAAUUUUAUUAUCUGAAUUUUCCUUCGUUGAUUAUAUUAUCCCAAUUGCAGUCCAUAAACGUGACCACCAACGAUGCCAAAUUGAUUUUUUUGCAACUGAAAUACAAUAACUACAGUAUCGAAUCUCACGCUUGACUGACAGUCUAUGUUCAUUGUUUUAGAUAUUUUUAAAUAUAUUUUCCUUCUCAAAAUAUAGGAAUUUUUAGAAAAAGUAAGAAAAUAAUAACGUUCCGCUAUUACUCGUUGCGUUUGUUAUUUAAUAUAUUCGAAUGGAUGUUUUUCUAUGGUUGGAGAAAUUUUAUACCUUACACGAGUAAAUUAUUUAAUUUUUAUCUAAUUUAGUUAUAUAGAACAGAAUAGUGAAUAUUGUGAUAAA